UCCAUUAAGUGCUAGGGGAAUUCUUUUCAUUUCUGCUCUCUUUUCUCCUUAGGAGGGAGGCACAGCCCUAGCAGGACUGGGAGCAUAGGAACAGGGAGCACAGCCCUGACUGGGACCUGGAGCAGAGCAGUCAACAGCAGGAUCAACAGCCGAGAGAGGAGCUUUGACCGCUCCUGGUCUGGAAAAUUCCAUGAUUCAGGACUGCUCAUGAUUUGAGGAUGCUGGAUCAGGAUUCUUUAGCACAAAAAUGCCUCACAAUAAUACAGUUGUACCUAUGUGGGAAGGGGAAUAAGAUAUGGCAAUGGUUCCUGGAUGCUGGACCACAUCUCCUGUGAUCCACCUUUUCCUCUCCCCCUUGGUGGAGUGAGGGAAUACCUCAGAGAAAUACCUGGCUAUGUGACAUUGGAUUUUUCAAAGAAAUAACAAUUUUCUACGAAAACAGACAUAUUUGCAAUAAAAAAGUGUAAAACUUACCGGCCCAAGACGGAGAGUUGAUGUCUCUGGGAUUAUUUUCCAUUGCAUUUUUAUGGUCUUUUUUCUUGAGUCACAAAAACUUUUUGUGCUCCUUGGAUUAAAAUGAAUAUUUACAUGAUAUCUCUUACCUUUUUCACCAACCUUUU